GAAAAGGGGGCAAAGGGAAUAAGAGGGAAGAGGGGUAAUGCUGGCUUUCCUGGAUUUGUUGGAACUUCGGGUGACCAAGGCCCACCAGGACAAAUGCCUUGCAAAAUUGUUGAUUUCACACGUGAAAACUGCCAAAUAAAGUGGAUUGACAGCAUGCCAUCUCAGCAAUGAAGAGAAGCUCCACUGAGCAAUACUGUGCCCCAGGAGAUGUCAUAACUGCACGCCUGUGUGCCUACGUCUUGCUGCUUCUUAUCACAAAACAGAGGAGUUUGUUCAAGAGGUACUUCCAAAUGCCCAGCAUUCCCAACCGAAUUGGCCUUUGCCUUGGACAUGUCAAAUGAUGUCUCCCCAUUGGAUUUUGAGAGGAUGAGAGACAUUUUAUUGUCUCUGUUGAUGAAGAUGGAAAUAAGUGACAGUAACUGCCCAACAGGUGCCCAUGUGGCCAUUGUUUCCUACAAUGCCAAAACCAAUUACUUGGUUCGUUUCUCAGACUACAAGAGG
rnacentral:sRNA from 1 species